GACGAACGCUGGCGGCGUGCUUAACACAUGCGAGUCGAACGGAAAGGCCCUGCUUUUGUGAGGUGCUCGAGUGGCGAACGGGUGAGUAACACGUGAGUAACCUGCCCUUGACUUUGGGAUAACUUCAGGAAACUGGGGCUAAUACCGGAUAGGAGCUCCUGCUGCAUGGUGGGGGUUGGAAAGUUUCGGCGGUUGGGGAUGGACUCGCGGCUUAUCAGCUUGUUGGUGGGGUAGUGGCUUACCAAGGCUUUGACGGGUAGCCGGCCUGAGAGGGUGACCGGCCACAUUGGGACUGAGAUACGGCCCAGACUCCUACGGGAGGCAGCAGUGGGGAAUAUUGCACAAUGGGCGGAAGCCUGAUGCAGCAACGCCGCGUGCGGGAUGACGGCCUUCGGGUUGUAAACCGCUUUCGCCUGUGACGAAGCGUGAGUGACGGUAAUGGGUAAAGAAGCACCGGCUAACUACGUG
rnacentral:rRNA from 1 species